rnacentral:rRNA from 1 species
GACGAACGCUGGCGGCGUGCUUAACACAUGCAAGUCGAACGGAAAGGCCCUGCUUUUGUGGGGUGCUCGAGUGGCGAACGGGUGAGUAACACGUGAGUAACCUGCCCUUGACUUUGGGAUAACUUCAGGAAACUGGGGCUAAUACCGGAUAGGAGCUCCUGCUGCAUGGUGGGGGUUGGAAAGUUUCGGUGGUUGGGGAUGGACUCGCGGCUUAUCAGCUUGUUGGUGGGGUAGUGGAUUACCAAGGCUUUGACGGGUAGCCGGCCUGAGAGGGUGACCGGGCACAUUAGGAUUGAGGUAGGGCCCAGACUCCUACGGGAGGCAGCAGUGGGGAAUAUUGCCCAAUGGGCGGAAGCCCGAUGCAGCAACGCCGCGUGCGGGAUGACGGCCUUCGGGUUGUAAACCGCUUUCGCCUGUGACGAAGCGUGAGUGACGGUAAUGGGUAAAGAAGCACCGGCUAACUACGUG